rnacentral:tRNA from 4 species
CGGGAUAGCUCAGCUGGUAGAGCAGAGGACUGAAAAUCCU